GUAACGAGCGCAACCCUUGUCCUUAGUUACCAGCACGUUAUGUGGGCACUCUAAGGAGACUGCCGGUGACAAACCGGAGGAAGGUGGGGAUGACGUCAAGUCAUCAUGGCCCUUACGGCCUGGGCUACACACGUGCUACAAUGGUCGGUACAAAGGGUUGCCAAGCCGCGAGGUGGAGCUAAUCCCAUAAAACCGAUCGUAGUCCGGAUCGCAGUCUGCAACUCGACUGCGUGAAGUCGGAAUCGCUAGUAAUCGUGAAUCAGAAUGUCACGGUGAAUACGUUCCCGGGCCUU
rnacentral:rRNA from 1 species